UUUUGGACAAUGGGCGCAAGCCUGAUCCAGCCAUUCCGCGUGAGUGAAGAAGGCCUUCGGGUUGUAAAGCUCUUUCGCAAGGGAAGAAAACUUACACAAUAACACUGUGUGAGGCUGACGGUACCUUGAUAAGAAGCACCGGCUAACUACGUGCCAGCAGCCGCGGUAAUACGUAGGGUGCGAGCGUUAAUCGGAAUUACUAGGCGUAAAGCGUGCGCAGGCGGUUUUGUAAGUCAGAUGUGAAAUCCCCGAGCUCAACUUGGGAACUGCGUUUGAAACUACAAGACUAGAAUAUGUCAGAGGGGGGUAGAAUUCCACGUGUAGCAGUGAAAUGCGUAGAGAUGUGGAGGAAUACCAAUGGCGAAGGCAGCCCCCUGGGAUAAUAUUGACGCUCAUGCACGAAAGCGUGGGGAGCAAACAGG
rnacentral:rRNA from 1 species